UCUCAAACAAUCGUUGCUCUUCUUUCAUUUUGCAUUAUUUUUACUUUUCAAACAUGCUUCUUCAAAUCAUUUACUCUCGUCAAACUCAUACCCACCAUCACCGUUUCUAGUCAAAAUUUCCUUCUCCAAACAAUAUCAUUUCCCCCUCUCCCUUUGAAACGACCUAUUUUUUUCAUUCUGCCCACCAACUGUUUGAUGAAUUAACACCCUCCACCAACCCCUUUUUUUACCCCUUUUAUUGUGCUUUCAAACUUCACUUCCCUGACUCACGGUUAACCCCUCUUCCAACUCUCCACCUUGCUUUUGUGGAGGUAAAAUGCAUAUCAUUUGUUAACCAAGUCACUUAUUGCAGACUAGAAAAAAAAAAAGGUAACAAGCAAUUUGUUCACCAAGUUUGCCCUUUUCCAUAUUGUUUAAUUUUUUUGUGUUACAUUGUCAUAUUAACUAUAGUUGCAAAAAUAAGUAACAAGCAAUUUAUUUUUCUAGAACUCAAAGACAAUAAUAGUUGAAUAUCAAGUUUUGAUUUAUGCAUAUUUUUUGUAUUGAUUUUUUGUUUGAUUGUGUUGAAAGAAAGUUAUAGUUCGAAGUGUUAGAGACUUGACCACCUUAGAUUUGCAAUUCUAUUAGGUCUUAUUCUCUUCUCUCGUGCAUUAUAAUUAUUAAGUGUGUAGAAUAACAUGUGGUGUUUGUUUAAUUUUACAAUGCACUUACUUUCCCCUCACGAGUUACUACCCUUUUGAUGAUUGAAUUUAAUUGUGUUUCUUUUAUUAUUUUAGAGAUUAUUCUUUGAUAUUUAGAACAAAAUGAUGUGUCUUUCAUUUUUAAUUUCCUCUGAAGAAAAAUAUGCAAAGAAGAAACUAUUGUUGAGUUUUGUGUUAUAUAUAUACAAAAACAUUUCUUCAAUGGUUGAGACAUUUCGCACGCGACUUGAAGGAUAAUCUUGAAGUUUAUCGAUCUGCGAUAAAUAGUAUUUGUAGUCAUUCAGAUUCUUGAUUUUUACUACAUUUUCCUAUUUGGUUUCUUAUUGCUACAGUGAGGGAGAAACUAGGAUGAAGGUAUAAUUUGUUUCAACCAUAUGCUACUUUGCAUUUGGGUGCCUUUUUUCUGAAGAUCUUUCUUUAUUUUGUAUUGGUCAUAUGAAGUUUAUGCAUGGUUCCCUUCAUAGUUGUCUAAGGUUUAGGAUUCUUUCCUUCAGCCACUAAUCUAAUGAUAACCAAUGGUUGAAAUGAAUGAGAAUGAGUAUUAUGUGGUUUUUUAUUUAGUUUGUUAGGUUGCAAUCUUCCGGUAGGUUUUCCAUUGAAAAUAUCUUAUUAGAAGCUCAACGAGCUUUGGGUAAGUGUUUUCUUUAGCGAGAGAAUUGGUUAAGUAUUUUUUGUUUAUAUUUUUUAUUAUUAACUGGUCAUUGUUUCUUACUUCCCUCUAAUUCUCUUUAUAUUUUUGUUUAUAUGUUGAUGUUGCAAUUAUGGAAAAAGAAAUCACGGAGUUCUUAUAAUUUUGGUGAUGAAACUAGUAAGGGGCACUUUCUCUUCAUUGUGCCCUUUAAAUGUUGAUUAUUGUGAUUUAAUUUUCUAUAGCCCAUUGGAAUGUUGUUUAAGCACUUCUGCAAUAGAUCUCAAUGAACCAUUUUGUUCUGAAUAUAUAUGGGACUUAUGGACAAAGGAUAUUGUGCUGAUUUUAUUCUUCCAAUGAAUUAAGGUUCAGGUUUGGCAUUGAAUAGAAUGAAUGCAAGUGAUGGAUGAGAAUGUAUUCCACAUUUGAUGAGUUUAUUUGCUUAAAUUUUGAUUUUUUUGAUUAAGCUUUACUCACAAAAAGAGUUGUAUUUUUAUGACAGUUUUGAUUUUAUGGGCCAGCAAGAAAAUUAAACCAUCUCAUAGGUAUCUAUGCCUAAGCAAGUGUCCACAUCAUCCUCCAUUGCAGGAAGUGUUCGAUCAUGACAUAGUUUUAUCUAAUGACUUGAUGUGCGAAGCAGAAAUCAACCUUCAACCAUGAUAACAUCAACAAUAGCAUUUGGAGAUGCUGAAAUGCUUGAGAAUAUGCAUAUUUGAAAGUGGUUGAAGUCGGAUGACAAUGCCCUCAUCGAUGACAACGAUGUCGUCAUCGUCAACGAAAAGCUUAAACAAGAGGUGUCACUCAAGCUCCAAAAUGUUGAUUGGUACACUUAAGAAUACUACCAUAAUAUUGAUUGCUAUACUUUUAAGACUAGAUUUAUUGUAGCUAGAUAGUUUUGGGAUAAGUUAGUUGAUUAGGAUGUUGAGUUGAAUGGCAAUUUGAUAGAGUUAUUUAUAUUGUCUUUGUAAAUGAUAUGAAAUAUUCAUAUAUAUAUAUAUAUGUAAAGUUUUGGAAAUGAUUAUAUAUAUAUAGUGAAAGAUUUUUUUUA